AAACAAGGAAAACUAAAAGACACCAACACAUAAAUGUUCAGCAACUAGUAUGAAAGAGAAUAAUUAAGAUCAAGGGACAUGACCAGAAGUACUUCACAUCACAAGCAUAUAUAUAUUCACACGUACAUAGCUAACACAGGGACUAAGAAUUAAAGAUGUUCAAACAACUCACUUGACAGAGAGCACAAACAACACAAAUUGAUCACACUAGGUAAUCAGAAUAUCAUGGGAAACUAACUGACAGAAAAUUCACAUAUAUUGAAAUAGUAAAACUGAUUACCAAUUAUCAAGUCUUCAUUCUAAAUGUUCACAGAAAUUACACACACACACACACAUGUACACGCACAAAAAUUGUUCUAGUUCUUGCAAAUCAAUAGAAUACAUCCAGACAAGGACAAGUCUGAAUUUCACAGGAACCCACUCACAGAUAAUACAUAGAAAUUUCAGAGAGGGAGAGAGAACAGUAGCAAGUGUUGGAGAAGGAGAAAGUGAUUCAGAAGAAGCAGGGAAGCAGCGAGGUAGGCGAAGAAGCAGCAGCAGCAGAGGUACAGAGAGAAGGAGCAGCAAGAGAAGUUGGGGAGCGGCAGCAGGAAGUGAAGGGGAAGGAGCAGCAGGGGGACAUUGGGAGGAGGAGAGGUUCAGAGAAUAGCUUCGGCAAGGAAGAGCAGUAGGAGGCGCAGGAGAUGAAGAGCAGCAACAACUUUAGGGGAAGGAGAGUAGGAGAAGUAGAGAGAGGAGCAGCAGCAGGGGCGUGGGAGAAAGCAGCAGUAUGGUGGCGCUAGGGAGAGAGGAGCAGCAGCAGGACCAUGGAGGAGAGGUAGCAGCGUGGGUGUGAGGUGUUGGUCGCGCGGCGGAUCAGACAGGCCAUCUGGUGGCUUGCGCGAUCUAGCGCUGGUGAGGGUGGAUGGAUGGCGCAGUGAAGAUGGAGGCGCUGUAGUGUUCGGUGGUGAGGUGGUGGAGUUGGUGGCGCUGCUGGAUGGAUGGGUCGCGGAGGCGCACAACCACACCGGCCUGGCCGUGGCGGCGGCCGGAGGUGGAGAAGGAGGGAUGAGGAGAGAGGGAUGUGUAACCAGGCCCCCAGGGGAUCGAAGGAGAUGGCUAGGGAUUUGACCCCUCUCGAUCAGAUCUGCCACUUUGCAAUUUUGCCCUCCUACUUCCCUUCUUUCUUCCCAAGUUGGUCCUCCCAUCUUGAGCUUGCCCCCUUGAAGCUUUAAUCUGCUAUCAACUCAGGACCCUCCUUUCUUUUCGGUUGAUAGUGCCUUUGUGCACUUUUCUGCAAAGGAAACAAGUAACAAGUAAAUGAUCCUUUUACACGAUUUUCGUUCAAAUAUGCAACAGUUCAUACCAAAAAUUGAUGGUCAGAUCACAGUAAAUGCUAAAUUUGUGUGCCAAAUUAUGAAUAGGAAAUGCUCUUAUCAAGUUCCCCCAUACUUAAAUCUUUGCUUGUCCUCAAGCAAAGGAAUAUGACAAGAACAGGAUAGUGAAUAGUGAGCUGACUUGAGAAUGUCCAAGUGAAGUAGAUCUCCAAACAAUGCAUGCUUUGGACUUGGCUAGUGAAAAUUAAUGGUUAAGAGUGCUACAUAUCAAUAGGACACUAUUAAACUCGGCAAUUUUAAACUUUUGCAAUGAUAAAUGAAGAUUAGCAAGUUCAAAUGCUGACUGUGCCAAAAGGUUCCUAAAGAGAGCAUGAUCCUGAGAACAAAAGGAACUUGAAUUAAAUCACUUAUUUGCAGAAAUAUAACAAUGUGGUUGAACCACUUAUUAAAUUUGAAGGAAGUAAUGAUAAUAUUUUAUCAGUCUCACCAAAGGAACAUACCACCGAUCCCGAGAACAUGGUAUACACCUGGCUCGACCAAUUAUUAGUUUUUUAAGUUUGUUUGUCUCCCCAAAGGAACAUACCACCGAUCCCGAGAACAUGGUAUACACCUGGUUCGACAAUUACAUUAUUAUUAUUAUUAAUUACUGCCCAAGCUAACCCGAUUUCACAUGCCACCGAUCCCGGGAACAUGACAUGCUACUGUAGGUAGCCAGACUUAUUUAUACAUUAUUACUUAUCUUAAAUGAACAACGCAUAAGAACAAAAACAGGAAUCAUCACUUCUCCAUGUCUGGUUCACAUGCUACCGAUCCAGGGAACAUAGCAUGCUAAUCCAUAGUGGUUAGGUAAUUGCUCUCAAUGGGAUGACACUUGGCACAAAUUCAGCAUCUAAACGUGGUGAUCUAGGUGUAUCGAGGUAAAAGCAGAAAAUGAUUAAGUUUUCUAGUGUACUAGGGAUUUGAGCACUCAAAACUAAUAGCUUUCACCAAUUUCAGCAAAGCAAGCAUUGUAUAGAUCACUAGUUUACAAGGCAUUCAACACUCAGUUCACAUAUUCACAUCAAUCACCCUAUGUCGAAGGUAAGAUUCAGUGGGACGGUAUUUAAGAAAUGACUCAAGCAACCCAAAUAACAUUUGAUUUCAGCAUGUAUCAAUGGAUGAUAUACUCGGAGUGGGUCAUGAAACAGCUCACCGGGCUUUGAUGAUGUAGCACUCUCUCGAUCACCUCACCAACUGCAGCGCCUCUCCUUUUGCUUCUCUAUCCUCAUGCCUGCUCCAGCUUCUCCCUUCCUCGUGUGUGCCCCCUUGCUUCUCCUCAUCCCCAUGCUUUGAGUCCACCAGGGUCCCAAGGAAUGUCACCUCAAACCUGGUCAGCAUGUAAUGGAUCGUGCACAAGCAAAAACCUAAAAGCACUCUCAACAAAAGAGACAAUGCAAGUGGUAGGGAUAAUACCCUCCAAGUCAUCAAUCGAAUAUCCAAUUACAUAAGCAUAGCUAUAAAGCACAUGUUUAGGAUGAUAGAAAUCAGCAAGGUCGACACUAACAUGAGGAUGAAAUUUAUCAUUAAGCUCAAGACUAGCAUGGGAAUAGUAAGUGUCAUCAUCAGGAAUGAGAGCAAUGCCACCAACAAUGUAUGUAUGAUCAUGUCCAAGCAAAUAAUUUUUCAAGUCUAGCUUAAUUGAUGGUAUAACACAAUGGAAAGUACCAGCAAAGAUCUCAUAAGGAAGCAUGUCAUCAAGAGGAUUGGAUAAACCUGCUAAAUCACGCUCCUGUAUGACGAUGGGCAAAUGCGUCUCAGGUUCUUCAUCUUCAUCUACAUCAUCUUCUUGUACUUCUUCAGGAGUAGUAGAUGACGAGUCUUCAACUUGAUCACUUUGUUGUUCGAGCUCUGGAUCAUCUUGUGCCUUGGCUUCGAGUACAUCUUCAAUCUGAGGUAUCUCUUCCUCUGGGCUCUCGCUAUCUUGCUCAGCUAAAUGUGACGGUGUUGGAACCUCACAUGUAUGACUAGAAAUCUCAGCAGCACUCAGCUCAAGGAGAGAUGAGAUAGUACUACCAGUGUUGAUGUUCUUCUCAAUCUUCCUUACUUCAUCCACUAGCUCUUUUCCACUCUUGAUAUUCUUCAUUUCAUCUAGUAUCAUCGGCCUAAUUGGAUCAUCCUCAACACUCCAAGUGAACUUGAGACUAAGCAAUGUGAGCUUGUCUAUAUCAUCAAAUUCAUCUUUUGGGGCACUUGCACAUGAGAUUGCUUAGCAGUUGCUGGAGUUGUUGGUUGACCAAAUGGAGGACCAUUUAACUCCAUUGGCAACAUCUCCUGGUGUUGAGGUAUAUGAGUAGGAGCUAAAUAAAUCUGUUGUGGAGCAUAUGUUGGGGAACGUUACAGAAAAUUAAAAAAAAAUUCUACGGUUUCACCAAGAUCCAUCUAUGAGUUAAUCUAAGCAAUGAGUCAUGAGAGAAAGAUUGCAUCUACAUACCACUUGUAGAUCGCGUACGGAAGCGUUCGAGGGAACGGUGAUGAUGGAGUCGUACUCGUCGUGAUUCAGAUCACCGAUGACCAAGUGCUGAACGGACAGCACCUCCGCGUUCAACACACGUACGGUACAGACAACGUCUCCUCCUUCUUGAUCCAGCAAGGGAGAAGGAGAGGUUGAGGAAGAAGGCUCCAGCAGCAGCACGACGGCUUGAUGAUGGUGGAGAGGCAGUACUCCGACAGGGCUUCGCCAAGCACUCAACGGAGGAGGAGAGGUGUUGGGGAGGGGAGGGGCUGCGCCUUGGAUCAGGUGUUCAGCCCUCCCAUCGCCCCUCUAUUUAUAGGGGAAGGGGGAAGGGGGCCGGCCCCCUCUAGAUGAGAUCUAGAGGGGGGGCGGCAGCCAAGGAGGGGGCUUGCCCCCCAAGCAAGGCGGUGCGCCCCCUUAGGGUUCCCCCUCAACCCUAGGCGCAUGGGCCCAAGGGGGGGGGGCGCCCAGCCCUCCAGGGGCUGGUGCCCUGCCCCACGUGGCCCAUGUGGCCCACCAAGAGGGGUGGCCCCUCCCGGUGGACCCCCGGAACCCCUCCGGUGGCCCCGGUACAAUACCGAUAUGCCCCCGAAACUUUCCGGUGUCCGCAUGACAACUUCCCAUAUAUAAAUCUUUACCUCCAGACCCUUCCGGAACUCCUUGUGACGUCCGGGAUCUAAUCCGGGACUCCGAACAACAUUCGGUAAUCACAUACAAGUCUUCCUAAUAACCCUAGCGUCACCGAACCUUAAGUGUGUAGACCCUACGAGUUCGGGAGACACGCAAACAUGACCGAGACGGCUCUCAGGUCAAUAACCAACAGCGGGAUCUGGAUACCCAUGUUGGCUCCCACAUGCUCCUCGAUGAUGUCAUCGGAUGAACCACGAUGUCGAGGAUUCAAGCAACCCCGUAUACUAUUCCCUUUGUCAAUCGGUACGUUACAAGCCCGAGACUCGAUCGUCGGUAUCCCAAUACCUCGUUCAGUCUCAUUACCGGCAAGUCACUUUACUCGUACCGUAAUGCAUGAUCCCGUGACCAAACACUUGGUCACUUUGAGCUCAUUAUGAUGAUGCAUUACCGAGUGGGCCCAGAGAUACCUCUCCGUCAUACGGAGUGACAAAUCCUAGUCUCGAUCCGUGUCAACCCAACAGACACUUUCGGAGAUACCUGUAGUGCACCUUUAUAGUCACCCAGUUACGUUGUGACGUUUGGUACACCCAAAGCAAUCCUAUGGUAUCCGGGAGUUACACGAUCUCAUGGUCUAAGGAAGAGAUACUUGACAUUGGAAAAGCUCUAGCAAAACGAACUACACGAUCUUGUGCUAUGCUUAGGAUUGGGUCUUGUCCAUCACAUCAUUCUCCUAAUGAUGUGAUCCCGUUGUCAACGACAUCUAAUGUCCAUAGUCAGGAAACCAUGACUAUCUGUUGACGAACGAGCUAGUCAACUAGAGGCUUACUAGGGACGUAUUGUGGUCUAUGUAUUCACACGUGUAUUACGAUUUCCGGAUAAUACAAUUAUAGCAUGAAUAAAAGACAAUUAUCAUGAACAAGGAAAUAUAAUAAUAAUCCAUUUAUUAUUGCCUCUAGGGCAUAUUUCCAACAACAUAGUUGUGGUUCUCCUCUUCAUACCUAAAUCCCUGCAUAUGAUUACUAGAAGCAAGCGGUGAGAUCUCAGGGUUGUUGCUCCUAUAUGACAUAUUCGGGUUUUCAGGCCACCCAUGUGAGUAAUUGUUUUGGUAUGAGCUAUGCUCUUGAGCGAAGCUCAUGCCAAAACAAUCUGGGGUGUGAGAGUAACCACGCUGACAUUCAGCGGGCAAAUGGCCUUGAAAUCCACAAAUAUGGCAAGUAGGAGCAACAUAAGGAUGGCCUCUAGAACAAGGAUCAUAAGAGCUAGGCCUAUCCUCAAAAACUACUUCUCACUGCUGAGCUAAAUCAUUUAAUUGAUGGGAAAACUUACUUAUCAGUUCUUGAAUACUUUCCGUGUUGUUUGUAGUGUUGCUCGCAUAAGCAUGAUGAUCUGAAUAGUAAGCCAUAUCCGAGAAGAUGGUUCUAACCUGCAAAAAGGAAAAGAAAACAAACAAACAAAAAUACUAACUAGAACAGGGGUUAGUGGUUAGAAAUAUAUCACAAAUAUAUGGCACAAACUAGAAAAGGAAGAAAAACCUAGUCUAUAGCCUAACACGGUUACUCGACGCUAGUCCCCGGCAACGGCACCAAAAUGAUCAAUUGUAAGUGUAGUGGGGUUUUUACGCCCAAACUACGAGUGUCGUGUUCUCCACGGGGACUAGGCGACGACAGUCGUGCUCGGCUAAAGCUAGAUCAGACAAAAAGGUUUUUGAUAUUGCAAGAAAAACAAAAGUAAAGCAAGUUUGUUCGAGAAAAUCAUUGACAAAUAAAAUGUACUCAAUAUAUUUUUGGUGUUUUAUUUUUUUUACUUUGGGAACUAAAAUACCAGCACAGGCAGACAUGAGAAACAAGGAAAACUACAAGACACCAACACAUAAAUGUUCAACAACUAGUAUGAAAGAGAAUAAUUAAGAUCAAGGGACAUGACCAGAAGUACUUCACAUCACAAGCAUAUAUAUAUUCACACGUACAUAGCUAACACAGGGACUAAGAAUUAAAGAUGUUCAAACAACUCACUUGACAGAGAGCACAAACAACACAAAUUGAUCACAAUAGGUAAUCAGAAUAUCAUGGGAAACUAACUGACAGAAAAUUCACAUAUAUUGAAAUAGUAAAACAGAUUACCAAUUAUCAAGUCUUCAUUCUAAAUGUUCACAUAAAUUUCACACACACACACACACAUGUACACGCACAAAAAUUGUUCUAGUUCUUGCAAAUCAACAGAAUACAUCCAGACAAGGACAAGUCCGAAUUUCACAGGAACCCACUCACAUCUAAUACAUAGAAAUUUCAGAGAGGGAGAGAGAACAGUAGCAAGUGUUGGAGAAGGAGAAAGUGAUUCAGAAGAAGCAGGGAAGCAGCAAGGUAGGUGAAGAAGCAGCAGCAGUAGAGGUACAGAGAGAAGGAGCAGCAAGAGAAGUUGGGGAGCGGAAGCAGGAUGUAAAGGGAAGGAGCAGCAGGGGG
rnacentral:lncRNA from 1 species